UGGGGAAUAUUGGACAAUGGGGGCAACCCUGAUCCAGCAAUGCCGCGUGUGUGAAGAAGGUCUUCGGAUUGUAAAGCACUUUCGACGGGGACGAUGAUGACGGUACCCGUAGAAGAAGCCCCGGCUAACUUCGUGCCAGCAGCCGCGGUAAUACGAAGGGGGCUAGCGUUGCUCGGAAUGACUGGGCGUAAAGGGCGUGUAGGCGGUUUACACAGUCAGAUGUGAAAUCCCCGGGCUUAACCUGGGAGCUGCAUUUGAUACGUGUAGACUAGAGUGUGAGAGAGGGUUGUGGAAUUCCCAGUGUAGAGGUGAAAUUCGUAGAUAUUGGGAAGAACACCGGUGGCGAAGGCGGCAACCUGGCUCAUGACUGACGCUGAGGCGCGAAAGCGUGGGGAGCAAACAGGAUUAGAUACCCUGGUAGUCCACGCCUGUAAACGAUGUGUGCUAGAUGUUGGGUAACUUUG
rnacentral:rRNA from 1 species